rnacentral:rRNA from 1 species
AUUGAACGCUGGCGGCAGGCCUAACACAUGCAAGUCGAACGGUAACAGGAAGCAGCUUGCUGCUUUGCUGACGAGUGGCGGACGGGUGAGUAAUGUCUGGGAAACUGCCUGAUGGAGGGGGAUAACUACUGGAAACGGUAGCUAAUACCGCAUAACGUCGCAAGACCAAAGAGGGGGACCUUCGGGCCUCUUGCCAUCGGAUGUGCCCAGAUGGGAUUAGCUAGUAGGUGGGGUAACGGCUCACCUAGGCGACGAUCCCUAGCUGGUCUGAGAGGAUGACCAGCCACACUGGAACUGAGACACGGUCCAGACUCCUACGGGAGGCAGCAGUGGGGAAUAUUGCACAAUGGGCGAAAGCCUGAUGCAGCCAUGCCGCGUGUAUGAAGAAGGCCUUCGGGUUGUAAAGUACUUUCAGCGGGGAGGAAGGGAGUAACGUUAAUACCUUUGCUCAUUGACGUUACCCGCAGAAGAAGCACCGGCUAACUCCGUG